rnacentral:rRNA from 1 species
CACGUAGGGUGCGAGCGUUGUCCGGAAUUAUUGGGCGUAAAGAGCUCGUAGGCGGUCUGUCGCGUCGGUCGUGAAAACCUGCAGCUUAACUGUGGGCGUGCGGUCGAUACGGGCAUGACUGGAGUUCGGCAGGGGAGACUGGAAUUCCUGGUGUAGCGGUGAAAUGCGCAGAUAUCAGGAGGAACACCGGUGGCGAAGGCGGGUCUCUGGGCCGAUACUGACGCUGAGGAGCGAAAGCGUGGGGAGCGAACAGG